AUGACGUCUGCACCGGCCAUGGCCACCACGGCGCUCUCCGACCCGGAGGCGCUGUCCGGCGACGGAGGCACCAAGCAACCGCUCUCCCUGCUUGAACGGGCACGCGACAACCUGUCCUUCCGGUCGGCGUGGUCCGAGCUGAACGGCGCCAUGGGCGACCUGGGCACCUACAUCCCCAUCGUGCUCUCGUUGGCGCUCUCCCGCCACCUCGACCUCGGCACCACCCUCAUCUUCACCGGCAUCUACAACGCCGUCACGGGCCUCGUCUACGGCGUGCCCAUGCCGGUCCAGCCCAUGAAGGCCAUCGCCGCCACCGCCCUCUCCGACCCCUCAUUCGACAUCCCGGAGAUCAUGGCCGCCGGCAUCCUCACCGCGGCCUUCGUCCUCCUCCUCGGUGUCACCCGCCUCAUGAAGCUCGUCUACUGGCUCGUCCCACUCCCCGUCGUCCGCGGCAUCCAGCUCGCGCAGGGCCUCAACUUCGCCAUGGCCGCCGUCAAGUACAUACGGUACGAGCAGGACCUUGACAAGGGCAAGUCUGCCGUGGGGAAGCUCCGCCCAUGGGCCGGGCUCGACGGCCUCGUGCUCGCUAUCGCCGCCGUAUGCUUCAUCGUCCUCGUCAACGGCGCCGGCCAAGACCACGUCCAAGGAGCCCAAGAAGAUGAAGAUGGAGAAGGAAACAACAGCCGUUCUUCCGGAGGCUGGCGUAGCUGGAGGCGGCGCUGGGCGUCGGCGAUCCCGUCGGCGGUGAUCGUGUUCGUGCUGGGCGUGGUGUUCUCCAUCAUCCGGCAUCCGGCGGCGCUGAGGGAGCUGCGCGCGGGGCCGUCGAGGAUGCGGGUGGUGCACAUAUCGAGGGAGGCGUGGAAGCAGGGGUUCAUCAAGGGCGCGGUGCCGCAGAUCCCGCUGUCGGUGCUCAACUCGGUGGUGGCGGUGUGCAAGCUCACGCGCGACCUGUUCCCGGAGAAGGAGGCGUCGGCGACGUCGGUGUCGAUGACCAUGGGCGCCAUGAAUCUGGUGGGCUGCUGGUUCGGCGCCAUGCCGUGCUGCCACGGCGCGGGCGGGCUGGCGGGGCAGUACAAGUUCGGCGGCCGCAGCGGCGCGUGCGUGGCGGCGCUGGGCGGGCUCAAGCUGGCGCUGGGGCUACUCCUCGGCGGCUCGGUGCUGCGCGUGCUCGCCAGCUUCCCCGUGGGGCUGCUCGGCGUGCUGCUGCUCUUCGCCGGCGUGGAGCUGGCCAUCGCCGCCAGGGACAUGUCGUCCAAGGCGGAGGCCUUCGUCAUGCUGGUCUGCACCGCCGUGUCGCUCGUCGGCUCCAGCGCCGCGCUGGGCUUCCUGUGCGGCAUGGUGGCGCACGGCCUGCUGCUGCUCAGGGCUUGGACAGUUUCUUCCAUGUAA
rnacentral:rRNA from 1 species